rnacentral:antisense_RNA from 1 species
GAACACAAAAUGGCGACACGUGGUUAGCAUUCGUCGCCAACGAGAAAUUGGGGUCGGCCCGAAAGCUCUAGAAUGCACCCCCCUUCUUCCCCGGGGCCUUCCACCUCCGCGAGUUUUAUGACUUAAAAAACCCCACAGGCUGGUCUGAAGAGGAAGACAAACAUAAAGAUGAAGUGCUUAAUUCAAGGUCACACAAUGUCGGGGAUGGACCUCCAGAUUUCCUUACUGGUGAGACGUGGUCUUGUAACACAGUGGUUAAGAAUGUGACUUUGGAGCCAGCCUGCUAGGGGCUGAAUUCUGACUCAGCCAUUUACUAACUGUGUGACCUUAGGUCACAGAAUUUUCCACACUCCUUGACGGAGGUGCUUAACCCUUAUCCAUCAGCAUUCUCAGACAGCACCUCCGGUUAGGGACAGUAUCUGACCGUCCGACAUCCCUGCAGCCCCCAUGUGUCACACAGACUCAGCCUCAGGUAGAUGGUUUCCGUAGAUGGUGGCUUUCUUUGGACCCUUGACAUCAACCAGUUACUAUUUGGGGACCAGAUGUG